AAUGGGUAUAAGUCUAGUGUCACAGUGUGCAUUUGUGACUAGAUCUACACUCAUUGA
rnacentral:pre_miRNA from 1 species